AUGUGGGCUCAAAUCCUUCAUAGCAAGUACCUCCAGACAAAAACUUUGUCCCAAGUUACAGUCAGGCCGACAGAUUCACCUUUCUGGAAAGGUCUAAUGAAAGUCAAACAAUCUCUGUUUAAUAGGAUGAAGUUUGUUAUUGGAAACGACACUAGUACACGUUUCUGGGAGGAUACUUGGCUCGGCGAGACACCCUUGGCCAUUCAAUAUCCGUCUUUGUACCGUAUCAUUCAACGACGAGAGGUGUUCGUCGCAUCGGUAUUUCAAUCUAUCUUCUUUAAUAUUCGGUUCCGGUGGACGCUAGCGGGUAAUCGUUGGGAAGAAUGGCUCCGUCUAGUUAGAAGACUGAUGGAGGUCCAGCUUUCUCAACAACCCGAUGAAUUACGCUGGAAAUUGACUAAGUCUGGAGUAUUCACUGUUAAAUCAAUGUAUAUUGAUGUUAUUAAUUCGAACUCCAUUCCUACCUCCAAGCAUGUUUGGGAUGUCAAAGUCCCUUUGAAAAUAAAAGUGUUUAUGUGUUUGUGCAUAAACAAGUUAUUUUAA
rnacentral:rRNA from 1 species